rnacentral:rRNA from 1 species
AAACCAGCACCUCAAGUGGUCAGGAUGAUUAUUGGGCCUAAAGCAUCCGUAGCCUGCUCUGUAAGUUUUCGGUUAAAUCUGUAUGCUCAACAUACAGGCUGCCGGGAAUACUGCAGAGCUAGGGAGUGGGAGAGGUAGACGGUACUCGGGAGGAAGUGGUAAAAUGCUUUGAUCUCUCGAUGGCCACCUGUGGCGAAGGCGGUCUACCAGAACACGUCCGACGGUGAGGGAUGAAAGCUGGGGGAGCAAACCGAAUUAGAAACCCGAGUAGUCC